CUCCCCGACGCAGCGUUACUGUCUCUUACAAAUACUCUCUCGGGCGUUCAGGAGGGAUCCCGGCUGCACUCGUCAUUCAACUAGUUUAGAAAUUGUCUGUUGGUCUAAGCACCUACUAUAUUUAGCAUUUUUGUAGAGCUUUACUUUGUAAAUGUAUUUAAAACGAGGUAAAAUUUUGUGAAAGUGGAACGUUAGCGUGAACCGACCAGGGCCUCGCGCUGCCACGUGGGAACACCGACAGAUUGACACCAUGAGAAAAAAGUUGACCUCUGGUGGAGUCCUCUCAGCAUGCAUUUUACAGUCAAAACUUGGGAUAAAUGCAGUCUCCUGAUGUCUCCAAGGAGCAGUGAAAAUGGAGCCAAUCUAAACCUCAAGAAACACUUGAGAUGAGUUGACCAAAUGAUGGGGCAAUGCACUGUGUCGGCCUAAUUUAACCAGAUGACUAAAGAUUCUUCCUGUGCAGAGGAUAGACGUGUGAGCUGCGCUGCCAUAAGAUGUGACCUUGCACUUCUGUGUACAGGCCCAAUUCUACCUGAAGACUAAAGACUUGUCUCCAGGUGAAUAUGCAUUCGCUGCAUGUAAAAAUGCUGUAAUCUGCUCCUGUGGUGAUGAAAUCUAAACUGAAACAGCUGGAAUUACCGGCAGAUUGUUUAGUGGUGACUCUCGGUUUUCUGAACAAUAUAAAGUGCAGUGAUGUAGUAAUACUAAUAAUGUACUUAAUCGCUAACAAAUCAUAAUUCUCAUUUCUACCCCUCCUGUAGAUGAAAGACUUGGGGCCCAAAAUGUGAUCUUGCCCGAUUGAACUAGAUGACUAAAGAUUCUUGCUGGGCAGGUGAAGCACUGGUAUCUAAAGUCUGUCUCCAGAAGUCUGUUCUACCGACUGAAAGAUGACCGACUUGAGAGCUGCCAAAACGUGGGACAUUGCAUGUCUUUGUAGCAGACCAGUUGGCUGAAGAUGUGUGCUUUGCAGAAUGGGCUCAAGUGGUUAAAAACGACUGCCUUCACGCUGCAUGAGGUGAGAAGCCUUCUGAUUAGUUUGAAUGUGUAGUUGUGUAUCAUCAGCAGGAACAUAAUAAAUUGCAAAUUGAUGGCCUUUGAAUAAUAUGAAUGUGUUGACCUCUGCUAACCUGAUUUUAAAUGUUUCUUGUAACAUGGAUUGAAUAAACCACCAGUUAAAUUGUGAAUAUAGCUGCUCUAAGCUGUGUCUAUAUAACAGUAUUUUAUUUUCCUCAGAUGAAGAUGGUUCUGUCUGAAGAGUUUCAACAUGUUUGCUUGAAAAACAGUUUAAUAAAAUGUCAACUUGAACACUGA